AAGAGCUCGUAGGUGGUUUGUCGCGUUGUUCGUGAAAUCUCACGGCUUAACUGUGAGCGUGCGGGCGAUACGGGCAGACUUGAGUACUGCAGGGGAGACUGGAAUUCCUGGUGUAGCGGUGGAAUGCGCAGAUAUCAGGAGGAACACCGGUGGCGAAGGCGGGUCUCUGGGCAGUAACUGACGCUGAGGAGCGAAAGCGUGGGGAGCGAGCAGGAUUAGAUACCCUGGUAGUCCACGCCGUAAACGGUGGGUACUAGGUGUGGGUUUCCUUCCUUGGGAUCCGUGCCGUAGCUAACGCAUUAAGUACCCCGCCUGGGGAGUACGGCCGCGAGGCUAAAACUCAAAGAAAUUGACGGGGGCCCGCACAAGCGGCGGAGCAUGUGGAUUAAUUCGAUGCAACGCGAAGAACCUUACCUGGGUUUGACAUGCACAGGACGCCGGCAGAGAUGUCGGUUCCCUUGUGGCCUGUGUGCAGGUGGUGCAUGGCUGUCGUCAGCUCGUGUCGUGAGAUGUUGGGUUAAGUCCCGCAACGAGCGCAACCCUUGUCUCAUGUUGCCAGCGGGUAAUGCCGGGGACUCGUGAGAGACUGCCGGGGUCAACUCGGAGGAAGGUGGGGAUGACGUCAAGUCAUCAUGCCCCUUAUGUCCAGGGCUUCACACAUGCUACAAUGGCCGGUACAAAGGGCUGCGAUGCCGCGAGGUUAAGCGAAUCCUUUUAAAGCCGGUCUCAGUUCGGAUCGGGGUCUGCAACUCGACCCCGUGAAGUCGGAGUCGCUAGUAAUCGCAGA
rnacentral:rRNA from 1 species